UCAGUGUUCAUUAAACAAAGCAUAGUAGCUAUGAUUGUAAAUAUCCCAUAAUUUUCCUCUAUGCAAGACUAUGAAGGAUCUUUUUUGUUGUGUCACUAUAUUAAUUCUUCACUUCAUAGUGAACAAUGAAUGCAGGCUGAAGGGAAAGAGGGUCUUUGUUCCUCAUGAUCAUUUCAGAUCAUGGGGGGUUAAGUGCUAAACACAAGGAAAGAUAGCGUGGAGAACUUGAAGUUUGGGGGAUUGUUAUUGAAGUAGCAUACCCCACUUUCAGCUACAUUCCACUGCUAAAAGUAGUCAUCAGAUCCCAACUGCACAAAAUGACUAUCCGCAAAGUGCUAAGGAAGAGAAGGUGGGCAUGAUAUCCAUGGCCACUGGUCUGUCCCUAACAUGUAACUAUUCUCUUUCUCAGGACAAACUGAGACAGAGCCACCACAUUGGUGUUAUAUGCAAAGAGCAAAAGGAACCUUUCAUCUACAUCAUGACACGAGUUUUGACAGAGGAAAAACAGAAGACUAGAAAGAUGAUGUUACCUGCGUGUGGGGGACCCUAGAGGAUGUUGUAUGUCUUAGAAAACCUACUAUAUGGCUGACACUUGGAGAAAAAAUUGAAAAUGCAUGUGCAUUGAUUUCAUUGACCAAAGUUACCAAAGCAGCAAUUCCCUAAACUAAUACACAUCUGGAAGCUGAUGGCCACCACCUUGACCACCUCUUGUAAUUGUAAAAACCAAAGGUAAUUUGUAUUACUCUCAUGAUGUCUCAAUAAAUUUAGCCUUAAAAUAUUUAUACAAGUUUUCAUUGAAAUUUAUAUAUA
rnacentral:lncRNA from 1 species